UGUUCUGUGGCUUAGUUGGUUAAAGCACCCGUCUAGGACGGGUCGUGGGUUCGAAUACCACCAGAUCGC
rnacentral:tRNA from 1 species